rnacentral:rRNA from 1 species
UCGAACGACUGGCCAGCGGCCGAGUGUAUUCGUGGGGGGCUCGCGUGGUCCGGAUUUAUUGGGGGUAAAGUGCGUGUAGGCGGUCAGUUAGGUCCGCUGUGAAAACUCGAGGCUCAACCUCGAGGCGGCGGCGGAAACCAGCUGGCGAGAGUCCGGAAGAGGAGAGUGGAAUUCCUGGUGUAGCGGUGAAAUGCGCAGAUAUCAGGAAGAACACCCGUGGCGAAGGCGGCUCUCUGGGACGGUACUGACGCUGAGACGCGAAAGCGUGGGGAGCGAACAGGAUUAGAUACCCCUGUAGUC